CCUACGGGAUGCAGCAGUGAGGACUAUUGGUCCAUGGACGCGAGCCUGAACCAGCCAAGUAGCGUGAAGGAUGACUGCCCUACGGUUUUUAAGCUUCUUUUAUAAAGGAGUAAAGUGAGGCACGUGUGCCUUUUUGUAUGUACUUUAUGAAUGAGGAUCGACUAACUCCGUGCCAGCAGCCGCUGUAAUACGGAGGAUCCGAGCGUUAUCCGGAUUGAGUGGGUUGAAAGUGCGCUUAGAUGGGUUGUUAAGUAAGUUGUGAAAGUUUGCGGCUCAACCGUAAAAUUGCCAUUGAUACUGGCAGCCGUGAGUACAGUUGAGGUAGGCGGAAUUCGUGGUGUAGCGGUGAAAUGCUUAGAUAUCACGAAGAACUCCGAUUGCGAAGGCAGCCUACUAAACUGCCACUGACAUUGAUGCUCGAAAGUGUGGGUAUCAAACAGGAUUAGAUACCCGGGUAGUC
rnacentral:rRNA from 1 species